AACGAACGCUGGCGGCAUGCCUAACACAUGCAAGUCGAACGAGACCUUCGGGUCUAGUGGCGCACGGGUGCGUAACGCGUGGGAACCUGCCCUUGGGUUCGGAAUAACUCCCCGAAAGGGGUGCUAAUACCGGAUAAUGUCUUCGGACCAAAGAUUUAUCGCCUUGGGAUGGGCCCGCGUUGGAUUCGCUAGUUGGUAGGGUAAAAGCCUACCAAGGCGACGAUCCAUAGCUGGUCUGAGAGGAUGAUCAGCCACACUGGGACUGAGACACGGCCCAGACUCCUACGGGAGGCAGCAGUGGGGAAUAUUGGACAAUGGGCGAAAGCCUGAUCAAGCAAUGCCGCGUGAGUGAUGAAGGCCGUAGGGUUGUAAAGCUCUUUUACCCGGGAUGAUAAUGACAGUACCGGGAGAAUAAGCACCGGCUAACUCCGUG
rnacentral:rRNA from 1 species